rnacentral:rRNA from 1 species
CCAGAUGUGGAAGCCCGGUAACGGGUGGAGCUGACUGGUACUAAUAGGCCGAGGGCUUGUCCUCAGUUG